GCAUGAUUAAUAAUUCGUUAAAUAUGCAUGUUGGACUUGGAACUUGACUUAGGAGAAAACCAGCGUUUUGACCCGUCAUAUGAUUCUACUACCUGAUUUAGCUCUAGGAGCCGUGGUUUGAUUGUAUCACCGCUGUUUCAGCGCAGUGGAUAUCCGGGGUAGUUUAGAAUGCAUUUACGCUCGUGCUGGGAUGCCGAGCUUAUUUUUACAGCAGAGUUUAGGCUGUUUCGGGUUGUCGGGUGCCGUCAGGGUGGACGGUGGAUCCAGAUUCUUAUUUUUGGUAUCAGAUUGUGCCGAGGGCACGUGGGUUCGGUUUCUAGACCGGUUUUGACCCUAACUACUUAUCUUUAGCUGAUUAGAGCCUGAUUGAGCUCGACAGAGAUACACUUGCAUACUCGAUUGGGUAGCGCCCACGAGUGCCACUCCGGAGUCGAGCUUAGUGCAUUUGCGUUUGUGUCGUUCGUGCAGGUUGGACUUGCUCUCCACGGACUUGUUAGUAUGGAGGUAGCUGAUUAGUUGUAACCUGGCGGGAUGGGUGUGUUCACAGUCCCAGGGAUGGGUAUGAUUACAGUCCCUAUUCAAGAUUGGGUCUGUGUUGACACUGUUCUACAGUUGGUUAGAUUAGAGCAUGAUAGUAUAGAGGCAGAUAGUUGUAGAUAUGUUCCAGCUUUCUUUAUUAUUUCUUGCUUACCCCUGUAGAUUUAGUGGGUGGACCGAUGAGUUUGAGGGCAGUACCCACUGAGGACUACUUGUUUUUACAGUAGUUCUCACGCCCAGUUUGUUUCCACUAUUUUGUAGAGUCAUCGUCUUCGGCUGCUGCUGUCGCUAAUUUUGAUCAUGGCAAGGGCGUCGCGAGUUAUAGCCCUUCCAGUCGAGUUGCUGAGCUAGUGGAGGACCGCUGCAGGUAGUGUAGUUUUGGUUUAUACAUACAGAUGUUGUACUCUCGCCAGUGCGAGUGCUUUUGUAUCUUGGAUCUUAUGUAUGUAUAGAACCACAGUUUAUAUAUUUAUGGUUUAUUUUCUCCUAGCUGCUCUAUACUACUGUCUGUAGUAUUGUAUGAUUACAUGUACUUUUACUUUUCGCUUCGUAUACAGAGAAAAUAGCUAUAUAUACUGCGGGUCUGUUAGCGAACCCGGGAAAACGAGUAAUCCGGGGCGUGACAGAUUAAAUUGGUAUCAGAGUUUAGCUGUAGGUCGUUGGGACCUAGGAGCCCUAAGUUUGGCAAACCUUAGGAAGGUAAGACGUGAGAGGCGUGAUUUAUCACGCAAGUCAACGAUUUGUUGUUCUAACUCCUCCUAGAGUGGAGUGAGUGAUUGGAGGAGCUCCAUUUUUGGCCUGAAAAAUUAUGUUUGCUGCAGACGACAUAAUUUUGAAGAGAAACAGGGGCCGCCUUCUAGACUUUUGUUUGAUUGGUCGAGAGUAUUUUUGUUGUAUCUGACCCCUGUUUUGUCCUUUACAGCUAUGUACCGUCGCCGAGGUCGACCGUCGCUCAGAGAUCGUGCCGCACCGCCCGAGAUGCCUGAGCAGGCAGAGCCGAGUGCACCACCAGAGGCGAGUGCACCCCCUGUUGUGGAGCAGAGGGCCCGACCGGAGGUGGGUGCACCUCCUAAUUUGAGUGCACAGUUAGCCGCCCUCACAGAGGUGAUGAGGCGACAGGGGGAGUUGUUGGAGAUGUUGUGUGAGAGGGUAGCUCCGUCACCGAGUAAAGUACCGAGAGUACAUGAGCAAGCCGUUCCACCUCUGACUACUCCAGUGACAGCACCAGCCGCAGCUAUACCUCUGCCAAUGGAGUUUCUUGCAGUGCCAGUUGUGCCUGCUAGGGGGCCAGUAUAGUUGACAGAGGCCGAGCAGGAGCGGUUGACAGAGAGGUUGGCUCGUUUCCGCCGUUUUGAUCCGCCGACCUUCGAUGGCAGUUGCACUGAGGCCUGGGUUGUUGAGGGCUGGGUCAGUGCGAUGGAGAAGCUAUUUGAGGAUCUGUUCAUUUCUGAGUGGGAGCAGGUAUUUUUGGGAGUCCAUUGCUUGGCAGGUGAUGCCCACGCCUGGUGGAGGAGAGUGAGGAGAGAGUAGGGACUGGUAGCGUUGCAGCUGAAAUGGAAUGAGUUCUGUGGAAUGUUGUUUGGGAUGUUUUUUUCCAGCAGUGUGAAAUAAAAGCUCGAGGAGGAUUUGAAGAGGAUUCAGCAGGGGGACCGUCCAGUGUAGGAGUAUAUUCGGGAGUUUACUCGACUCCUGAACUGUGUGCCAUUUGUGGCCAGGGACGAGGCACAUAGGGUUUAUCUGUUUGAGCAGGGGCUGAGACCCGACAUCUUCAGGUUGGUGCGGGCGCAAAGGUCGAGGAUCCUGGAUGCGUCCAUAGAGCAGGCCUUAUGGGUGGAGGAGGUGAAGUGUCGCUGCAGGAGAGGACUCAGGCAGUGGGGCAGAGUCAGGACAGGAAACGUCCCUUUCCCGAUUACGGAGGACAGUCGAGAAGCAGACGUCCGCCAAGACCUCCACGAUCACGUUCUCAGGGUCGUGGGUCUUCGGGGCGUCAGCGUUCCAGGGGAUCCCGCAGCAGGGACAGACUUCGAGGACACCGUAGUGUGUGAUCUGCGGGGGACCAUAAUGGCCCCGACAGUGCGAGCAGAGAGAGGGCCGUUGCUACACUUUCGGUCAGCCUGGGCAUAUGAGGUCAGCUUGUCCUUGUGCAGCAUCAACAGCACCAUCCAUGGCAUCAGCGCAGCCAGCAUCCCAGCAGUCUUUUGGAGCAGCACCGAGUUUCCGCCAGGAGGACAGAUCGUCUGUGCCGUGUCAGACUCAGCGGCGACAGCAGGCUCCGAGUGGCAGAGUUUACGCAUCUCAGGUGGAGGACUCUUCAGCAGCCGACCGAGUGGUGAUAGGUAUCAUUUUGAUUUCAGGCAUUCGUACUUGUACUCUUUUUGAUAUCGGUGCCUCACAUUUUUUCGUUAGCCGAACAUUUGCAUUGUUGCAUGGUCUAGAGUUAGGGUCAUUGUCAUAGGCACGAGAGGUGCAGAUCCCCGACCAUGUUUUACAGGUUGCAGAGUGUUGUUGGUCAUGUCCGGUGCAGUUAGAUUCUUGGAUCAUGCCCGCAGACCUGUUGGUAUUAGGGCAGCUGCAGGACUUUGACGUAGUGCUCGGUAUGGAUUGGCUGGCACGGUACAAUGCUACUAUCGACUGUGGAGCGAGGACUGUGACGUUCCGUGAGCCAGGCUAGCAGGAGUUCACCUUCAGAGGCUGUAGGAGUACUUUGUUUGCCACUUGGAUAUCUUCGGCGAGGGCUCGACAGCUGAUGAGUAGAGGAUGCGUUGCUUUUCUGGCGACUGUGACAGAGGUGCCUACGGCAGCGCCGGGACUCGAGGAUAUUCCUAUAGUCCGCGAGUUUCCGGACGUGUUUUUUUCGGAGUUGACAACGAUGCUGCCGGAGAGGGAGAUAGAGUUUGUGAUUGAUGUAGUUCCUGGAAUUACACCAAUCUCAAAGGCACAUUACAGGAUGGCACCGACGGAGCUGAGAGAGCUAAAGGCGCAGCUUCAGGAUUGGAUUGAUAAGGGGUUUGUGAGACCCAGUGUGUCGCCUUGGAGAGCGCCGGUGUUGUUUGUAAAGAAGAAGGAUGGUUCGCUCAGGUUGUGUGUAGAUUACCGGGAGCUAAAUAAGGUGACUAUCAAGAAUAAAUAUCCUUUGCCGUGCAUUGGUGAUCUGUCUGAUCAGCUGCAAGGAUUUUAUGUCUUCUCGAAGAUUGACCUCCAAUCCGGUUACCACCAGUUGAGGGUGUGGGCCGAGGAUGUUCCCAAGACGGCUUUUCGGACUCGGUACGGGGACUAUGAGUUUACGGUGAUGCCGUUUGGAUUGACGAAUGCCCCUGCGGCAUUCAUGGAUUUGAUGAACAGAGUGUUCAAGCCAUUCUUAGAUAGGUUUAUGGUAGUCUUCAUUGAUGAUAUUCUGAUAUACUCCCGGAGCGAUGCCGAGCAUGAGGAGCACUUGAGGACUGUGCUACAGCUUCUGCGAGAGAAGAAGUUGUAUGCCAAGUUAAAGAAGUACGAGUUCUGGUUGCGGGAGGUUGCUUUCUUGGGCCACGUGAUAUCUGCGGUUGGAGUGGCAGUGGACCCGAAGAAGAGUGAUGCUAUUCAGGAUUGGCCCAGACCGACGACGGUGACAAAGGUGAGGAGUUUUCUUGGACUUGUAGGUUAUUACCAUCGAUUUGUGGAAGGCUUUGCGAAGCUUUCCACACCACUCACUCGACUGACUCGUAAAGGAAUUAAGUUUGUCUGGAGUGAGGAUUGCCAGAGGAGCUUCGAUGAGUUGAGACAAAGGUUGACGUCAGCUCCUAUCCUUGCCCUUCCAGUGAUGGGGGAAGGAUUUGUGAUUUACAGUGAUGCAUCGCAUAGUGGUUUAGGCUGUGUGCUGAUGCAGCAUGGUAGGGUAAUUGCUUAUGCUUCACGGCAGUUAAAGGAUUACGAGAAGAAUUACCCUACUCAUGACUUGGAGCUUGCCGCGGUAGUUUUUGCUUUGAAGUUGUGGCGGCAUUACUUGUACGGUGAGCACUGCGAGGUUUUCACCGAUCAUAAAAGUCUCAAGUAUCUGUUCACCGAGAGGGAGUUGAAUUUGAGGCAACGCCGGUGGUUGGAGUUACUGAAGGACUAUGAUAUUAGUAUUCAGUAUCAUCCCGGCAAGGCGAAUGUGGUGGCAGAUGCGUUGAGCAGGAGGGCAGUGCAAAGCUUGAGCAUGUUGAUCACUCAGCAAAGGCCGUUACUCGAGGAGCUGCAGCGGCCGAGGCUCGAGAUAGUGUACUCUGGAUCUACUGCGAGACUGAUGUCUAUGGUCUUGCAACCCACUCUGUUGGAUAGGAUCCGAGAGAAACAGGGUGGAGAUCCGCACUUGUCGAGGAUUCGAGAGCAGCUAGAGAGGGGACAGGCAGAGGGUUUUGUUGUGGACAGUUCGGGAGUACUGCGGUAUAGGGACCGAUUGUGUAUAUCUAUGGAUUCAGAGAUCCGAGAGGACAUUUUGAGAGAGGCUCACUGUUCACCUUAUAAGAUUCACCCCGGUGGAACGAAGAUGUAUAAGGAUUUAAAGACACAGUUUUGAUGAAAUGGAAUGAAGAGGGACAUUGACAGAUUUGUGGCUCAGUGUCUGACUUGUCAAUAGGUAAAGGCCGAGCAUCAGGUACCUGCUGGCAAGCUUCAGAGUCUGCCAGUGCCCGAGUGGAAAUGGGAGCAGAUCACGGUAGACUUCGUCGUGGGAUUGCCGAGUGCACAGUGUGGCUAUGAUGCGAUUUGGGUGAUAGUGGACAGACUAACUAAGUCUGCUCACUUCCUACCGGUUCAGACCACCUGGUCCAGGGAGAGACUCGCGCAGCUAUAUCUGGAUGAGAUUGUUAGGCUGCAUGGCGUGCUGAUUUUGAUCGUAUUUGAUAGGGAUCCGAGGUUUGUAUCACACUUCUGGAGGAGUUUGCAGACAGCCUUGGGUACACAGUUGCAGUUCAGCACAACGUUUCACCCACAAACAGAUGGUCAGUCAGAGCGGACUAUUCAGACUCUAGAGGACAUGCUGAGAGCAUGCGUCCUGAACUUUGGAGGAGGGUGGUAUCGACAUUUGAGACUGGUUGAGUUUGCGUACAACAACAGCUAUCAAGCGAGCAUCCAGAUGGCUCCGUUUGAGGCGUUGUAUGGACGCAGGUGUCGAUCCCCUUUGUUUUGGAGCGAUGUGGGUGAGAGAAAAACGCUUGGGCCUGAGAUUCUGAUUGAGGCUGAGGAAAAGAUAAAAGAGGCGCGACGGCACAUAUUAGCAGCCCAGAGUCGACAGAGGAGCUAUGCUGAUACCCGGAGACAAGACAUGGAGUUCCAGGUGGGAGAUCAUGUGUUUCUUAAACUCUCGCCUUCCAGAGGAAUUCGCCGAUUUGGAGUACGUGGAAAGCUCAGUCCAUGUUUUGUAGUCCCUUUUGAGGUAUUGGAGCGAGUCGGGCCAGUUGCUUACAGGAUUGCUCUACCUCCACGACUAGCCGGCAUUCACGAUGUUUUCACGUCUCGGCUUUGAGGAGAUAUGUGUUCAAUCCCUCCCACGUGAUAGACUUCACUCCGCUUAAGAUUGGAGAGAACUUAAGAUACGAGCAGCGACCGGUGCGGAUUCUGGCUCGAGAGUCGAGGGAAUUGCGCAACCGAGUCAUACCCUUUGUAAAGGUGCAGUGGAGUAAUCACGAGGAGCGGAAUGCGACUUCGGAGCCGGAGACGGUGAUGAGAGAGUCCUACCCCUACCUUUUUGAGGCUCAGGAUUGAGAUAUGUUUCAGUUUCGCGGACAAAAUUUUUUGUAGUGGGGGAGGAUGUAGUGUUCGUGAUGUUUGGAUAGGAUUGGCUACAGUAUUAGUGACUGGUCGACAUCAUAGGAGAGUGUCGGACUGAGUCGGAGUCGUUUCUGUACAAAUUGGAUGCAGAAAUGGACUCGACGCACUCAAUUAAGCAAAAGUAGAGUUAUGCCAGAUUCGGGCGCCCAGAACACGGUUUAGGUCGCCCAGAACUGAGUACUGAAUUUAACUGAAAUUGGAAGCCAAUUCGGAUCCUAUAUUCCGGACGCCCAGAAGUGGGUCCGAAAACUUUACAUCGUGAAUAUCGUUUGUGUUGAUACGUGGGUGAUGGUAGGUGAGGUCCGCCGGAGCCGUUUACGGGCACAGUGCACCGCGGGCGGAGAAUCUGAAGUGGAACAAUUGUGUAGCCUGGAGGAUUCGGGCGCCCAUAAUGUGGAUCCGGGCGCCCGGAAGUGCCCGUUUCUGCAGGGACAUUAGAUUGUAGCAGUUGUUCCGGGGCUUAUCCUACCCUUCCUGCACCCUAUAAAUAGUUGGAGAGGGACCUUGGUGAGCUCUUUUCUCAGUUUCUUCACAGUGAACUCAGAAUUCCUCUCUCAAUCCUUCAAAUCUUCGCAAAUUGCUUCAUAAUCCACAACUCCAAGCUUGCUAGGUGCUGAUUUUGCAGUUCUUCAGCGACGACCUCCAGUGUUUUGGCUCGUGCGUGACGUAGGAAGGUCGGAUUUCAACGAAACUUGGUUUGCUGGAUUCUUGACUUCCAGAGGAAUCCACGAUUGCAGAUUUUGGUUGAGGUUAGUUUAGUCGAUUCCAUAUUUUUCUAGAUUGUUGUUACUUUGAAGCUGAAUUUGAGUUUUAGUGGUUUUUUCAAUGCAAUUCUUGGAUGGAACAGGAUUUUUGGACCUGAGAUUUGUACUCCAUCCUUAUUCACUAGAUUUGGAAUUUGUCUCACCCGAAUUGGAGAUUAUUAGGUGAGUUUUGACAUUGGAGUUGAGAUAAUUAAGCUUAAGUGCUAAAAUUUUGGUGCAUUGAUGGAUUUUGGCCUUUUUUGGUGCUUGAACCUUGAUGUAGCUUUGUUGCUGGACUUGAGGGUGUUUCGGUUGAGCCAGCAGGUUUUCCACAGCUGAGAGAGUUCUUUGCUGCUAGGGAUUAGCUCUUGAGGUGGGUUUUCAUCGGUGUUACUCCUAAGCCGUAUUAGUCGACAUGUGUGAUUUCAGUUUUUGGUAGAUCAUGUGUUAGCUCAAUUUCUUGAUUAGAUCAUGUAUAAAAUCAGAAUUGAGAGCAUGAUUAAUAAUUCGUUAAAUAUGCAUGUUGGACUUGGAACUUGACUUAAGAGAAAACCAACGUUUUGACCCGUCAUAUGAUUCUACUACCUGAUUUAGCUCUAGGAGCCUGGUUUGAUUGUAUCACCGCUGUUUCAGCGCGGUGGAUACCCGGGGUAGUUUAGAAUGCAUUUACGCUCGUGCUGGGACGCCGAGCUUAUUUUUACAGCAGAGUCUAAGCUGUUUCGGGUUGUCGGGUGCAGUCAGGGUGGACGGUGGAC
rnacentral:lncRNA from 1 species